GAUGAAGAACGCAGCGAAAUGCGAUAAGUAGUGUGAAUUGCAGAAUUCAGUGAAUCAUCGAAUCUUUGAACGCACAUUGCGCCCCUUGGUAUUCCAUGGGGCAUGCCUGUUCGAGCGUCAUUUGUACCUUCAAGCUUUGCUUGGUGUUGGGUGUUUGUCCUGAGGGACUCGCCUUAAAGUAAUUGGCAGCCAGUGUUUGGUUUUGAAGCGCAGCACAAGUCGCGAUUCAAAGCUAUACGCCCGCUUCCACAAGCCUUUUUCACUUUGACCUCGGAUCAGGUAGGGAUACCCGCUGAACUUAAGCAUAUCAAUAAGCGGAGGA
rnacentral:misc_RNA from 1 species